GAGAGAGAGAGAGAGAGAGAGAGAGAGAGAGAGAGAGAGAGAGAGAGAGAGAGAGAGAGGCAUUCUACUUGAAGACACGGAAGGAAGAGGAUGGAGCAGGAGGGUUGGGAACGAGCCCCUCCAGUGGUGUGCUGUUAACUUCACGUCCUGGGUAUCCAUCCCCCUGAUGUGAGGGACGGAGGACGCGAAGACGUUCCACGGUCUGGAGACUCGCCCCCAAAAGGUGGGCCGGUGUUGGCUGGAGCGGGAACGCGGCACUUCCACCGAGUCACCACCGGAUGACACCGUGGAGCUUGCUGAUGUGUGUGGCAGCACAGGACAUCCAGGAGAGGGCGGAAUACUCUAAAUAAGGCCGUAUCUGGCCCUUGUAGAGCAACAGCCUCCCUCUCAUGUCCAGCAAGUUGGCCACCCUCCUCUCUCUUUCUCUCUCUCAUUUUUAUAGUGAUAAUAAUACAAGUUACCUUUUUCA